rnacentral:tRNA from 1 species
AAAGUAGAAGUUUAAAAAAUAUUUGACCUGCAAUCAAAAGAAGAUAAAAUUAAUUUAUCCUACUUUA